GGUCGCAAGACUGAAACUCAAAGGACUUGACGGGGGCCCGCACAAGCGGUGGAGUAUGUGGUUUAAUUCGAUGCAACGCGAAGAACCUUACCUGGCCUUGACAUGUCGAGAACUUUCCAGAGAUGGAUCGGUGCCUUCGGGAACUCGAACACAGGUGCUGCAUGGCUGUCGUCAGCUCGUGUCGUGAGAUGUUGGGUUAAGUCCCGCAACGAGCGCAACCCUUGUCCUUAGUUGCCAGCACGUAAUGGUGGGAACUCUAAGGAGACCGCCGGUGACAAAC
rnacentral:rRNA from 1 species